UUACACUAGGUGUAUUCGGGAAAUAACUGCGUGUGUGGGUGUCCACGCAAGAGAAAUGGCUUUUGGGGUUGGGAAAAAAGGAUGUGUAGACGGGAUGGAUGGGUGUUCCUCGUGUGGGAUGCCAUGUUGUUGUGCUCGUACCUUGGUGGUUGAGCAAUGUCGGGAGAUAUCCAUCCUGUCGUGAUUAAGGACCGAGUUGAUGUGUCAUCUUGCCUAAUUCCACUAUCGUGCAACCACUCGACCGUUGUAUGGGCAACGGCUUAGCAUAAAUCCCACUAGCUGAACUGUUAGUCCUCAGGGGUGCUGGUGAGCAACGGGAACCCAUGGAAAAGGAGUAAGAUCUUGGUGACUUAUGUCCCGGUUACGG
rnacentral:lncRNA from 1 species